UUAUAAUUUAUUUAUUAAUAAAUAUAGUUUUGUAAAAAUAUUUUUUUUAAUAAAAAUAAUUUUAAAGUUAAAGAGUUUUAGUAUUUUUUCAAGAAAAAAUUUUUUUAAUAAUAGUGUAUUAGUAUUGUAAAAGAAGAUUUAAAUAAUUUGAAAAAUUUUUAUUAUAAAAGAAAAAUUUAUUUUUUGUACCUUGUGUAUCAGGGUUUAUCAAUUAAAAAAUAAUUACAAUUAUUUUUCUCGAUUUCAAAAGAUCUAAUAGUUUAUGUUAGUUAUUGUGGAAUAAUAUAUUAAUUAAUAAAUUAUUAGAAAUGAAACGUUAUUCGUUUUUGAAAAUAUCUAGUUUUUAAAGAAAUAAAUUUAAUUUACAUAAAUUUAAUUAAUUAUUUUUUUUAUUUAAAUAAUUAAAUUAUUUUUAUGAAUAUUUUAAGGGAUGAGCUUUAAAAUAAAUUAUUAAAAUUUAAUUUUAUUAGAAUAAAAAUGUAGGCUUAGAAAUAGUUAUCAUUAAGGAGUAUGUUAUAAUUUAUUUUUUAAAUAAUAUAAUUUAAUAUAAAUUUAAGUUUUUUAUUUAAAUAUUUAUUUUAAUUAUAAAAAUAAAGUAAUAAUGAUAAAAUUAGUAAAUAUGAAUUUAAGAAUAAAAUAAAAGUGAAAGGUUUAUUUAAAAAAUUCGGCAAAAUUAUAUACUCACUUGUUUAUCAAAAACAUGUCUUUUUAUGGAAUUUUAUAAAAAGUCUAACCUGCCCACUGAAUAUUUGUUAAAGGGCCGCGGUAUUUUGACCGUGCAAAGGUAGCAUAAUCAUUAGUCUUUUAAUUGAAGGCUUGUAUGAAUGGUUGAAUGAGGUAUAUACUGUUUCAGAUAAAUUUUUAUUGAAUUUUAUUUUUUAGUUAAAAAGCUAAAAUUUUUUUAAAAGACGAGAAGACCCUAUAAAGCUUUAUAAUUUGAUAUUAUUAUUAAUAAAGAAUUAUUUUAAUUUUAUUAAUUAAAUUAUUUUAUUGGGGUGAUAAUAAGAUUUAAAAAACUCUUAUAUAAAUUUUACAUUGAUUUAUGAAUUAUUGAUCCAGUUUUAUUGAUUAAAAAAUUAAGUUACUUUAGGGAUAACAGCGUAAUUCUUUUAAAGAGUUCUUAUCGAAAAAAGGGAUUGCGACCUCGAUGUUGGACUAAGAGUUAUUUUUAGGUGUAGAAGCUUAAAGUUUAGGUCUGUUCGACCUUUGAAUUCUUACAUGAUCUGAGUUCAGACCGGCGUGAGCCAGGUUGGUUUCUAUCUUUAAAAAAUUAAAAUAUUUUAGUACGAAAGGACCAAAUAUUUGAAAUAAAGUUUUUUUAAAAGAUUAAAAUUAAUUUAAUUAAAAAUAAUAAUUUAAGUUUAAUUAGAAUUAA
rnacentral:rRNA from 1 species